CGGGGGUUGGCGCAGUGGUAGCGCGCACGCCUGGGGGGCGUGAGGUCGCCAGUUCGAGCCUGGUACCCCCGACCA
rnacentral:tRNA from 1 species